GGCUGUUCGCCGAUUAAAGCGGUACGUGAGUUGGGUUUAAUACGUCGUAAGACAGUAUGGAUCCUAUCUCUUUUGGGUGUAUAAAACUGCGGAGAUCGUGUUCUUGUACGAGAGGACCGAACAUGACAAACCUCUGAUGGACCAGUUGUUUCGCCAGAAGCACAGCUGGGUAGUUACGUUUGGGAGUAACAACUGCUGAAAGCAUCUCAAGCAGGCAAUCUCUAUCCAAAACAAGUUUUAUUUAUCGUAGAAGACUACUACGUAAUAGGUGGAAUGUCUAAACAUAGUAAUAUGU
rnacentral:rRNA from 1 species